rnacentral:rRNA from 1 species
GAUGAACGCUGGCGGCGUGCCUAAUACAUGCAAGUCGAGCGAACAGACGAGGAGCUUGCUCCUCUGACGUUAGCGGCGGACGGGUGAGUAACACGUGGAUAACCUACCUAUAAGACUGGGAUAACUUCGGGAAACCGGAGCUAAUACCGGAUAAUAUAUUGAACCGCAUGGUUCAAUAGUGAAAGACGGUUUUGCUGUCACUUAUAGAUGGAUCCGCGCCGCAUUAGCUAGUUGGUAAGGUAACGGCUUACCAAGGCAACGAUGCGUAGCCGACCUGAGAGGGUGAUCGGCCACACUGGAACUGAGACACGGUCCAGACUCCUACGGGAGGCAGCAGUAGGGAAUCUUCCGCAAUGGGCGAAAGCCUGACGGAGCAACGCCGCGUGAGUGAUGAAGGUCUGCGGAUCGUAAAACUCUGUUAUUAGGGAGAACAAAUGUGUAAGUAACUAUGCACGUCUUGACGGUACCUAAUCAGAAAGCCACGGCUAACUACGUG